rnacentral:rRNA from 1 species
CCUACGGGAGGCUGCAGUGAGGAAUAUUGGGCAAUGGAGGCAACUCUGACCCAGCCAUGCCGCGUGAGUGAAGAAGGUUUUCGGAUUGUAAAGCUCUUUCGGAUGUGACGAUGAUGACGGUAGCAUCUGAAGAAUCCCCUGCUAACUUCGUGCCAGCAGCCGCGGUAAUACGAAGGGGGCAGGCGUUGUUCGGAUUUACUGGGGGGAAGGGGAGUGUAGGCGGGUUAGUAAGAUAGAGGUGAAAUCCCAGGGCUUAACUUUGGAAUUGCCACUAUAACUAUUAGACUAGAAUUACAGAGAGGAUAGUGGAAUACCUAGUGUAGAGGUGAAAUGCGUAGAUAUUAGGUAGAACACCAGUGGCGAAGGCGACUAACUGGAUGGACACUGACGCUGAGGCUCGAAAGCAUGGGGAUCAAACAGGAUUAGAUACCCUAGUAGUC